GCUCCUUUGCUUGAUGUUUCUCGUCGUCGCCAUGGUAGCGGCCAGCCCGAGGAUCCAGCGACGUUCUUCGGAGCCUUUUUCCUCGCCGCGUCACUUUGACAUGCCAGAAAUAUCGCUCAAAAAGCGAUUCAUUUUGAAGACGCAUUCAGAGCGACGCAUUAAACCGGAUGUGGAUAAAGAGCGUCACCUUCCCCCAAGUGAAACCGCCGUACCAUGGUCGAUUGAUCAAGUUCUUAAACGAUUUAAUCGGUUCCACGAUGAAUUCACCGGUGACUACACUGGUUCAGGUUCCACGAUGAAUUCGCCGGACGCUUACGGCACUGGUUCAGGUUCGACGAUGAAUUGGCCGGACCCAAACUACACUGAUUCAGGUUCUACGAUGAAUUGGACGGACCCUUACGACACUGGUUCAGGUUCCACGAUGAAUUGGCCGGACGCCAACUAUACUGACGCAGGUUCCACGAUGAAUUCGACGGACGCUAACAACACUGAUGAAUACUGGAAAUCCGUAGUGCGUUCAGUUACAGCGAACGUUCGCCAAUAAUCGUUCGUUUCCGAUUCGGUCUUAUUGAACGAUAAGUUCGGCGCGAACGUUUCAAGAUGGCGGCUCCCAGAAAAUUUAUUGCGAUUUUGAUGGAGGAAAUCGCGAAUAACAACAUUGUAUCAGAGGAAAGGUCGUCGGAAGAUUAAAUAACUGACAAUUUCAUAAUACAAAACUAUAAAUACUACGUAUUCUUUUUUAGAUUAAGACUUAAAUAAAAGAUAUUUCAAAAAUAAUAAAACCUAUAAUAGUUUUAUUAUAAUUAUAAGUGGUGUGGAUGCGAGUGUUAUUUUUCAUUAGCGAUCGAAAUUUAGUGUAAGAGGUGCAUUGAAUCAGUUAUAAAAUAAAGCCCUAAAAUAGCGCAAUACAUUACAAUCUUCAAAUGUAGUUGUAAUUUUCUUUUACAUUGAAUGAAUUUUCGUUUCGUUUACAUUUAAUGAAAAUAUUAAUAAAUUUUAGCAUUCAAAUGGAAAAAAAAACACAUGCAUAUUUUGCGAAUUGAACUGUCUUUGAAUGUAUAUGUAUAUUGAAAACUCUUUUGUAGUGAUAAUGAGCGAUACAAUUCUGGCAUUUUAUUAUACCAUAAAUCUAUACACUUAUUUUACCCAAGCAUUUUAUAUCCAUAUUAUGAUCAAACGCGAUUGCUUGCUUUCACGAUGAUGUUUCGAACACUGCAGUAACGCACGAUAUUUAAACGUUAUAUUUGCAAGUACCCGUUAAAUACGUUAAUUGUGUAGCAGUACUGUCAAUUACAUGCAUUAAAAAUUGUUUUAGAAAAAAAAAAUCGGCGUUGAAUUCCUUUGUUUUCGUUUUCUACUUGAUCAUGUUUUGACCGACGAAUUUGAGAGGGGGGGGGGGGGGUGAAGGGAGCGCACCAACUAGAUUCCCUAGUGUCAAAGAAAGUAUAAUCAGCGGAAUGACAGUGCUAUUUAUUUAUAUUUCGAUAAAAUGGUAUAUUCAAAUAAAUGUAUUGAAAUGUAUAAAAUUCACAAACGCCGGUAUUCCAAGUACUUCUAUUAAUCAAAUGGCAUACAUCGUAGCAAUAGUAGACAUACCGUGACAAAUGGGUACGCACCCUCCGGCAAAACUUUCCUUUUUAUACACCACGAUUUUCUAUAAAAAAAAGCAUCUAUUUUAAAGUAGUUUUUUUCAGUGCAAUUCUAUUGUUUGGUUUUACUAUUUUGAAAUGUACUUUAAAUUGAUUUGUGAAACAGAAACUUUUACACAUAGAAUAACACAUUUAAAUCGAAUACGUUAAUAUAUGGUAUGUUAACCCUUUCAGCGCUGGAACCGAAUUUUGAAGGCCUUUGCAAACAGUUUGGAUCCAGAUGAGACGCCACAAAACGUUGCGUCUCAUCAGGAUCCAAACUGUUUGCUAUUCCGAUAGUAUUCUUUGAAAAAGAAUCGAAGAAAAUGCUAAUUUUAUAAAUUCAGCAGACGACAUUUUAGCAGACGACAAAUUUCCCAGCAUGCAAAGGGUUAAUAAUGCCAAUGCUGCUCAACUGAAGAGCAGUUACGAACAUGGUCAUCCUAUUGUCUGCCUUCACAAUUUAGAAAACUGAUAUUCUGAAGGUUCAUUCGGUAAACGUUGUUGUUGACAAACCAUUUCAAAUGUUAAGUACUUACACCACAGUAACAAAUCAAAUUAUGUUUAUUUAAUUGAUGCCAGUAACGAACCAGAAUUUCUAAAAUAAAUCAUGCAUGUAUAAUCUUAACGGCUAUAAUUUACAUAAAUCAGCCCCAGCAACUUUAAACCAGCAAUAAUAAAAUAGCACAUACGUUUAUACCACCGUCGGCAGAAAUACAUCCGUGAUUUGCAACGUUUUCAUUUCAAUUAAACAUAUGUCAUGUAUACGCAUAAAAGGCUAAAACAAAUCACCGCGCUAAGCAUUUAAAGAACUCGUUAAUUACAUGUAUAUAGUGGAUACUAAAUAAAUGCUUUUAUGGAAAAAAUAUAGUUUUAUUUAGAUUUUUUCGUUGCGAAAAACUAUUUAAUUUGCUAUAUUCUAUUCGACAAAUGAAAUAAAUCGUUGGUAUACCUUUUUCAACGUAUCGUAAAUAUUUCAUAUCUUGACUCGUCAAAUUGAAUAUGACUCGUCAAAUUUGCGACGGUGUAUGCACAGUAUAUUAUAUAAGAUAACUAAAAUAAGACGUCUUUUUUCAGCUAAAUGGGUUAGUUUAUACGAGACUGUGUGCGGGAAUGUCACCACGUUCGUCAUGGGCGAUUAUUUGUUCUAUUUGAUGAUUGAGGCGCAUGACCAAUUGCGCCAUGAAUUCAGCAAGUAUUACGAAGUUAUUAGGUGUUACAACUUAAAGUUUCCAGGUAUGGCGCAUACGGGGCAUUUUUUGAGUAGUCUCCUAUCCAUGAUCAGCGAUGAAAACCCUCAUACAUUCUGGUGCGAAUCUAUCCCAGAGGAUUAUGUCGGGUUUCUAGAAUUCCUUGGACGCCGCCUAGUACCGACGAAAUAAGUUUAAAAACAACAGAGUUCCAGCAUCUCUUCGAACGGAUUGUCUCUAAUGAUAACAUGUGCAUAUGUUGUCUCACGAUUUGUUUUGUAAUAGUGAUUAAUUACAUGCUUGAAAACAUAAAUAAAAAACACCGUCACCUAUUGCUAAUUGUUAAUUAUCUGCGUUUGUGUCAGCGACUGACAAAUCAUCAACUUGUAAAAUCAUAACGUUUAUUUGCAUGAAAAAGAUGUUUGAGAGUGUUGUAAAUCUUGAAUCUUGAAUAGUUUCGCUCAUAGUUCUUAUAUCUCACUUACUACAAAAAUGAACUUAUCCGAUUGGCUUAUAGCGUUCACGUGCCCUUGGAGUAUUUUCCAUACACCCCGAUUAAUGUCCAUACUAAUCGAGUUCAGGUAUAUGUUCCACAAUCUAUUGAAUAUUUUUAUAUAAAACAAACUAAUAAGAUUAUAUUAUACUCAAAAUUUGCUAAGGAUCACUUAUAGUAUGUGUAAUUGUAAGUUCACACCUAGCUAGAUUCAGCCAACGUCACGCAUCAAUGAUAAAUCAAUACAUACAAAUAAAAUAAAAAUCACACAUUUUAAUAUAAAAACCUGCAAAAUAACAAUUUAAAAUAAUUUAAAUUGGAAGAUAAUGUGAAACAAAAAUAUCCUUAGCAAAAUUUGAGUAGUAUAUUUCAAGUCUGAUAGCAAUAGCUUAGGUGGGAUGGUUUGAGUCUUUCAAAAUUAAAAUAAUAAUUAAAAAAUAUUUGUUUUGUGGUGGAGUCGGAGAGGGGAAUAAUGUGGGUGUGAGGUCAUUUAUUAGAUGAUAUUUCAAAAUUAAGAAGACAAAAAAAAUAGAUAAAAGCAUUUUGUGGGGGGGGGGGCAUAGGCCAUAGGUUUGGGUGGAGUCCAUUGUGGUAUGUUGGGUAAGUGUUUUGUCAAAGUAUGAAUCAAAUCUGAUCCUAAAUAAAAAACUUAUAGCAAUUUAGGCAAAAUUUAUUUAUUUGACAUUGAUAUUGAAGGUCAUUCAAAGUAAAGGUCAAAUUCAACUUGCCAGUUACAGUACACUCAUGAUAGUAAGAAAGUAUUUGAAGUUUGAAAGCAAUAGCCUUGAUACUUUAGAAGUAAAUUGCAUCUAAACGCAAAAUUUAACAAAAUAUUUAAAGUUAUUAAGUCAAAAAAGGGCCAUUAUUCUGUCAAAAUGCAAGUUAGAGUUACAUAACUUUGCCUGCAGUCCCCUUAUGAUAGUAAGUGUUGCAAGUAUGAAAGCAAUAGCUUUGAUACUUUAGGAAUAAAGUGGACCUAAACACAAAACUUAACAAAAUUUUCAAUUUUCUAAGUAUUAAAAGGGGCAUAACUCUAAAAGUAAUGGUGACAGAGUUAUGCACCUUGACCUUCACAAUUGCCAUAAAGAAGUAUUCCAAGUUUGAGUUUAUUAUCUCUGAUAGCGUUAAAGUUAUUUGACUUCAUAAAAAAACUUAAACCAACGGGGCUAGUAGUAUACCUCUUAUUUUUCUUCGAAAAGUCGAGCUAAAUCUAGGCUCCAUUACUGGAGGUAAAAGUAUGACAUGUCUGUGGCAUGCCAUAUAUAAAUGUAGGCAUUGUAUCUUGAACUUGGCUUGUUAUUGAAUGUGUGUUGGAAGGGAUUGAUGCAAACAUUAUAAGUAUAAAUAAUCUGCAAAUGUUUUGCCUUCACAUAAACUUGGAUCAAUUUCAGCUAUUAUAAUGAUAUACAUACUAAUCUAAUUAAGACACACUCUUUAAAAAUUUGAAUGGGUUGUGGUCAUUUCAAACUUGCGAUAUAAAAAGCUAUAACAUAAUUUUGAAAAAUGAGUUACGUCUAAGAUUAUACAACAGCGAACAAAUUCAGUGCCCUCAGCGCUUUGAUUAACUGAAAGCAACACACAUAGCCAAACUACACGCGCUUGCCUAUUGACAUAACAUUACUGGGUUGUGUCAUGAAUUUAGUUCAAGGACGCCAUUGGCUGGGAAUUUUGAGACUCGGAUGCAUUAAUAGUUGACGUUUUUGUGUGAAAAUGAUGGAUUAUUGAAAUAAAAUGUAAACAAAAGUGAUUGAAUAUAUGGCUGGAGUAAAACCGGUGAAAUUGCAUCGUGGAUUUCUUUAAUAAUGUAGAACGUACCCAAUUAACGAGAUGUUAUAAACUAUGCAUUAUUGUUGAACAAUUUAAUAAAAUAUUUAACGAUUGAGAAUAGUGUUAGUGAUAAAUCUUAUUAUUGAAGUGCAUUGUUCCUUUAAUUUUCGACGGAAAUGGACGUAUAAUUUUAAUUUCUUCGAUGAAUAAGUUGUUUCUUUGUUAGUUUAAUGUCCAUCCACGAAGAAUUGCCUGCUUACGUCAACUUUUUGACACGGAAAAGGAAUAUUGCGAUAAACCGCAAUUAUGUGUAUGCCGCCUGCAGAUUUUCAACUCAUCAUGGAAGCAAAUAAAACUGGACGAACAUAAACACAAACUUUGAAAACUCUCCUUCAAAACCGUCGGAAAGGUUGAUCAAAAUGGAUGGACACAUGAGGCUGCUCGAAGAUCAGCAAACCAACAAUUGGGUCAAGGCGUGCAUAGCAUUGGCCAUCGCAAAAGACGGAUUGGUUUGCUUUGUUGAAACAGAGAUAAAGAAGGUACAUGGAGCAGUUGGCAAAAGUUGUGGCACCUGUAACAUGGCCAACGUAUUGCAAUGUCCUACGCAAGGUAUAUGCAAAGCUAGGAAGAAAAACAAGUGUUCUUUUCACAAACCUCCUCAAUGCAAAAUAUGCGAGCAAGAGAAAGCCGCUAUAAUAUCAGUGCACAGAUUUUGUGGACCGUCUUGGCGUAACACCAAGGCGGAACGUUGAGCAACAGAUUAUUGGGAAGUGUGUAAAUGUUUCCUCCCACCGGAUGGAUAUAGGGACGUGCAAUCACUUAACGACGCAGAUUUCAAUGCCGUAAUAAGCAUUAUGCUCAACUGCUUGUUAUGCUUGUUAUGCUCCUUUACAGUUCCCAAAUUGGUUAAUGUUUAAUUGUGUUAUAAAAUGCCUUAAAUUGUUAGAUUAAAACAUCGGAGCUCCCAAGCUCGAUUUGAAUUUAAAAAAUACAAAAGUCUGUCCUUAUCGGGGCUUAAAUCAGUGUCCUUUUGAUGUAAAGGUUAUCGCCGUAACCGCAUAGUCAUCAAAACCCAUUUUUUAAACUUAUAAUGAGUUUUCUGUACUUAAUAUGAUUAAUCUACAUGAUGUAACAGAAUUUAACGAAAUAAUCAAAAACAUUAAAAAAAUAUCCAAACA